rnacentral:misc_RNA from 1 species
GAUGAAGAACGUAGCGAAAUGCGAUAAGUAAUGCGAAUUGCAGAAUUCCAGUGAGUCAUCGAAUCUUUGAACGCACAUUGCGCCCUUUGGUAUUCCGAAGGGCAUGCCUGUUCGAGCGUCAUUUCAACCCUCGAACCCCUCCGGGGGGUCGGCGUUGGGGAUCGGCCCUUUCACCGGGUGCCGGCCCCUAAAUACAGUGGCGGUCUCGCCGCAGCCUCUCAUGCGCAGUAGUUUGCACACUCGCACCGGGAGCGCGGCGCGUCCUCGUCCGUAAAACACCCCAAACUUCUGAAAUGUUGACCUCGGAUCAGGUAGGAAUACCCGCUGAACUUAAGCAUAUCAAUAAGCGGAGGA